GUGGGGAAUAUUGGACAAUGGGCGCAAGCCUGAUCCAGCCAUGCCGCGUGAGUGAUGAAGGCCCUAGGGUUGUAAAGCUCUUUCACCGGUGAAGAUAAUGACGGUAACCGGAGAAGAAGCCCCGGCUAACUUCGUGCCAGCAGCCGCGGUAAUACGAAGGGGGCUAGCGUUGUUCGGAAUUACUGGGCGUAAAGCGCACGUAGGCGGGUAUUUAAGUCAGGGGUGAAAUCCCGGAGCUCAACUCCGGAACUGCCUUUGAUACUGGGUACCUAGAGUAUGGAAGAGGUAAGUGGAAUUCCGAGUGUAGAGGUGAAAUUCGGAGAUAUUCGGAGGAACACCAGUGGCGAAGGCGGCUUACUGGUCCAUUACUGACGCUGAGGUGCGAAAGCGUGGGGAGCAAACAGGAUUAGAUACCCGGGUAGUCC
rnacentral:rRNA from 1 species